GUAAUUCCAGCUCCAAUAGCGUAUAUUAAAGUUGUUGCGGUUAAAAAGCUCGUAGUUGGUUCUGCGUGCCGCGCUGUCGGUUCGCCGCCUGUCGGUGUAACUGGCAUGUCGCGGCAUGUCCUGUCGGUGGUGAACGGAGUCCACGACGCUACAUGGGCUUUAUAGUCGAUGUUAGCAUCGUGUGUACUUCCGUUGGCCGAUCUCUCCUACUUCGGUGCUCUUAAACGAGUGUCGAGGUAGGCCGACACGUUCACUUUGAACAAAUUAGAGUGCUUAAAGCAGGCUGAAAUAUCUGCCUGAAUAGUGGUGCAUGGAAUGAUAAAACAGGACCUCGGUUCUAUUUUGUUGGUUUUAGGAAUAUGAGGUAAUGAUCAAUGUGGACUGGCGGGGGCAUUCGUAUUGCGACGUUAGAGGUGAAAUUCUUGGAUCGUCGCAAGACGCACUAGAGCGAAAGCAUUUGCCAAGUAUGUCUUAAUUGAUCAAGAACGAAAGUUAGAGGUUCGAAGGCGAUCAGAUACCGCCCUAGUUCUAACCAUAAACGAUGCCAGCCAGCGAUCCGCCGAUGUUCCUUUAAUGACUCGGCGGGGAG
rnacentral:rRNA from 1 species